CCCUGUGUGUUUAUUGACACAAGCGCACCGGACACGAACUCACUGUCCUUUGGAGACAACAACUGCAUGAUAAACACCGGCACUCAGGUGUCCCUCCAUCCUCCCCUGCCUGAUCCGGGAUGGCCCACAGGAUGCCAGUGUUGGUGCUUUUGCCUCUCUGAGCAAGCCCCUGCCCGCUGCACCUCGGCACCGCGGCUCCAGGGACCCGGCUGCAAUCAAGGCAGGCAGUGCCACGCCCAACACAGGAGCCCCGCUGAUUGCCCCAAGGACCGGGUGCAACGGCUUGAGAGUGGGCCUGGAUACAGAGGCACCGGGGUCUUGAACCAGGACACUUUAAACAGGAUCGGAUGCUCUCCCAGCUGUCGGAAGGGAUCAGGGAUUUUUUGCCAAGCUCAGCACAGCUGGGGAAGCAUUGGACACUCGUCCUUCUUCUGUAGUGUCUGGGAAAAACCUGGAUGCUCAGCUUGCCACACGAAGGAAUCCAGCAGGUUCCCCUGGAGGAAAAGAGGGCCAGGAAAGAACCGCAGGCUCUUCUGACUGCUGCAGCAUCAGGGACCCAGGCGGAUGCUCUUCAUCCAACAGAGUCGGUGAGCACCUGAGCUAAGGAGCAGCAGGUCCCCAAAAGGCACACGGAAGCCUGUGCCGAAGCAUGUAGCUUGGGUGGGCCUGGGAAAGGGCUGCCCAGGGCGAUAUGAAGCGGGAAACAGGUGAAGAACUCCAUUGAGGACGCUUCCCAACACCACGUACCCAGCUGGUACGCCUGUGAGUUUGGGAUUCCCACCGGCCUCCUCCCGGGACACCUCACAGAGAAGAAAAGACAACCUCAUGACAUCAAGAUGUCACCAGGGCUAAUUACAAGACCCGAGUGGAAAGGGGUGAGCUGCAGGGAAGGAGGAGCCCCAGACAAGUCAUGAGUAUGC